GUUUGAUCCUGGCUCAGGAUGAACGCUGGCGGUAUGCCUUAUACAUGCAAGUCGUACGGGAAUUUUUAAUUCAAGUGGCGGACGGGUGAGUAACACGUAAGAAUUUACCUUUAGGAGGGGGAUAACAACUGGAAACGGCUGCUAAUACCCCAUAUGCUUUCGAGUGAAAUGGAUUUCCGCCUAAAGAGAAGCUUGCGGCUGAUUAGCUUGUUGGUAGAGUAAUAGCCUACCAAGGCGACGAUCAGUAUCUGGUUUGAGAGGACGAUCAGACACACUGGAACUGAGACACGGUCCAGACUCCUGCGGGAGGCAGCAGUAGGGAAUUUUCCGCAAUGGGCGAAAGCCUGACGGAGCUAGACCGCGUGAGGGACGAAGGUCCUUGGAUUGUAAACCUCUUUUCUCAGGGAAGAAGAACUGACGGUACCUGAGGAAUCAGCCUCGGCUAACUCCGUGCCAGCAGCCGCGGUAAUACGGAGGAGGCAAGCGUUAUCCGGAAUUAUUGGGCGUAAAGCGUCCGCAGGUGGCACUGCAAGUCUGCUGUUAAAGACUGGGGCUCAACCCCAGGCCAGCAGUGGAAACUGCAGAGCUAGAGUGUGGUAGGGGUAGGGGGAAUUCCCAGUGUAGCGGUGAAAUGCGUAGAUAUUGGGAAGAACACCGGUGGCGAAAGCGCCCUGCUAGACCACAACUGACACUCAGGGACGAAAGCCAGGGUAGCGAAAGGGAUUAGAUACCCCUGUAGUCCUGGCCGUAAACGAUGGAUACUAGGCGUAGCUUGUAUCGACCCGAGCUGUGCCGAAGCUAACGCGUUAAGUAUCCCGCCUGGGGAGUACGCACGCAAGUGUGAAACUCAAAGGAAUUGACGGGGGCCCGCAC
rnacentral:rRNA from 1 species